UCAUAUUCACUUUCUCUCUGUGGUGUUCUAGGGUUUCUCUCCGGUUGUAUUUUGUAUUCUCUCAUCUGUUUGAGAGAUUUGUUGUACUUGUUGGUAUAGAUGAUCAUCAGUGGAUGAUCAUCAAGACUGGUUGUAUCGUUCCUUUUUGUAUUGAUCUUACGAUUGUAAGAUCUUAGGGUUUGGGGGGUACUUUUUGGUUUGGGUUAAAUAAGAUUUUGUCACCUUGUUUUUGUCGCUAUUUUGUGUUGUUCUUGUUGUUUCUGUUAUCCGAUCAUCAUAAUACCAUUAUUUCAACAACCCCAUAUUACAGUUUGCUACUGAGAAUUCCCAACACUUUGUUGAGUUUUUGUUAAUUAAGGUCUUAAUUUAUUUGAUUUAGAAUUUUUGAACAAGUCUUUUCUAAUGCAGUUGGUCCCAGUGUCAGUGGGAAGAGGAUCUAUUCUUCGUAUUUGGUAGGUUAGCAAAGCAGAUAUUUUCACCGGUUGUUAUUGUGGUCUAGCUUUAUCGAAACAGUCCCCAUGGAGAUUGGCCAGAAUCCAAUUGACAUUGACAAAACAAUAAAAAUUUUGGAGCCUGAUAAAACUAGUGGUAGCGGAUGGCAUUUGUCUGGAAAAGAAAGAGUCAUAUUCAGACAGCCUAGUCCUAAAAGGAAAGCCUUACUUGGUUAGUAGGUUCUACCAUUCAGGAUGGGUGUUGCCGGUGAUGCAAAUCAGCAAGACGAACUAAUAGUUAGCAGUGGCACAAUUAGCAUUUCAAGUGUUUACUUUCAAGGAUGAGUAUGUUAGUAAUCAUGUGGUUGAUCUUGGGAAACGAGCGAAUAGAAGACUGACAUCGCGCAUCGGCUACGAAGAAUCAUGAGAAUCCUUUUCCUAGUAAGUUGGCCAGUUUCAAGAUUUUAGCAAUGGAGAUAACUCGCGCGCAGCAACAACACUGAUUCAUUCUGCUGGUGUUUGAUGCUAAUCAAGAGUUUGUUUGAAGUUUAUGAAUUGUUCCUAGAACGCAAACAAAUUACCCAACACAAAGUUAAAAAGUUUCUUUGAUAUCAUAUGCAUAGCGUGUUGGCUAUGUUUCUGCCUUCGUAGCCUGCGCCGCAACGCACACGGGUAAAAUAUCUAGUUUCAACUAAUUUACAUGUUGAAGUUGAGAAAAACUAGUUGUUGGAAAUGCGCAAAAGGAUUGAAGAUGAUCAUUAAAGAAAAAAAAGUUGAGCUUGAAACUAUGCGAAAAGAGUUUGCCAGCCAGCAACCCCACUUAGAAGCUAUGAUGCACCAACCCAACUUGGAAGCUAUGAUGCAAAAGGUUAUGAAACAAGUAGUUGGAGAUCGAGAUUAGUAGAAUGUUUUCACUUUUUUAUUAUUGUACUUGACUGUAAAGUUAUUUAAGUUUCGACAAACAUGUUGAAGUACACACUUUGAUUAUCAAUGUUAUCUUUGUUAUUGUUUUCGUGUGA